AGAGAACUGUUUUGUUGGUGAUGACCUUUUAAGUGCUCUGAUCUGACUCUUUUUCGACUUGAGGAGACUGUUGUUAUCGUGAAGUAAACCAGUCAUGCAACUGGAAAUGGAUCAUUACUUUGACUCCUCUUCUGGCUUAUCCAGGUCGAACGCUUAGGUCACACGGCAAAAUGGUUCUAUA
rnacentral:other from 23 species